GAUGAACGCUGGCGGCGUGCCUAAUACAUGCAAGUCGAGCGAACGGACGAGAAGCUUGCUUCUCUGAUGUUAGCGGCGGACGGGUGAGUAACACGUGGAUAACCUACCUAUAAGACUGGGAUAACUUCGGGAAACCGGAGCUAAUACCGGAUAAUAUUUUGAACCGCAUGGUUCAAAAGUGAAAGACGGUCUUGCUGUCACUUAUAGAUGGAUCCGCGCUGCAUUAGCUAGUUGGUAAGGUAACGGCUUACCAAGGCAACGAUGCAUAGCCGACCUGAGAGGGUGAUCGGCCACACGGGAACUGAGACACGGUCCAGACUACUACGGGAGGCAGCAGUAGGGAAUCUUCCGCAAUGGGCGAAAGCCUGACGGAGCAACGCCGCGUGAGUGAUGAAGGUCUUCGGAUCGUAAAACUCUGUUAUUAGGGAAGAACAUAUGUGUAAGUAACUGCGCACAUCUUGACGGUACCUAAUCAGAAAGCCACGGCUAACUACGUG
rnacentral:rRNA from 1 species